UCUGCACUGAGUAGCGGAAAAACAGCCUGUAUUCAAGAUCGAUGUAAGGAGGGCUGGGUUCAGUUUCAAAGCAAAUGUUACCUUUUCUACAAUACAAGUGAUCGAACAUGGUCGGAGGCCGCAAGUGUCUGUCAAGGUUUUGACUCAAUUCUAGCCGAGCCAAGAACAGAAGCUGAAUCCAAAUUUUUGAUCAAUGAAGCCAAG